rnacentral:lncRNA from 10 species
CAGAGUUGUGCGCCUGCAUUCCAAACCCUGCUAAGUCAUGCUGCACCAGGCAGCCACCUCAGACUACUACUGAGUAAAGCACAGCCAUUUCCUUCACAGUGCUGGAGGAAGGGAGGUGCAGCUUUGGCUCAGCUCUUAACAGUGCAACAUCUAGUGCCUCUAUAGUUCUCUUGGACACAGAUGGCUGCUUUCGAAGAAGAAAGAAGUGGAAAGUGAUGGAGUUUCUAUGCUCCAGCUCUCUUUGCCUGCUGCCAUCCACGUAAGAUGUGACUUGCUCCUCUUUGCCUUCUGCCAUAAUUGUGAGCCCCCCUCAGCCAUGUGGAAUGAUGGAAAACAGAACAAGCCAUGGAGGCCCCAGGGAUCAGGCAGGGCCAAGAGGAUCUGAUGGCGGAAGGGGGAGCACAUCAACAAGACCUUACAAGGCAACUUGCAUGGAUGCUCUGAAGCAACUUUGAGGUCUCCUUGAUGAGGAAAGUUGGCUCAACCUGCUGUAGAGUAGGCCCACAGCCAAGCCAUUGAGAGACAAGUCCAUGGGAGACAAAUUAGCUCAUGCAGCUGAGAUGUCCUGGAGAUUUUCCACAGCACCACUUGGCCAGUGCCUAGACAAGAGGCCAUCUUUGAAGAAGUAAACAAGUACCAUACACUAAAGGGAUGACAGAACAACGAAACAAAAGGCUUCCGAGGCGAUCCGGCAACAUCAGUCUUCAGCCGCUAAGCCAAGAAGAUCUGGGAAGGAGUCAAUCAGAGAGCCUUGGGCCAGAGUUCCAGGGGCUGUGGAAGUGGCUGCCAGGUGAGUUGAACAGUCCGAUUUUCAGUGGGGUCCUACACAGAUGGGACACAGCUUAGGAGGAAUCCUGGGCUGUGGGCAUUCCUUGGCCUAGUGGCCAGAUUUCUGGCACUUGUAGCAAGCUCCUGGGGGAGGAGGUUCUGGAGGAACCCCUGGCAGCUGCGGUUUGGGCGUUUGGAGUUCUUGUGUGCUGGAGAUGUGGCUGGGGUUUGUCUCACAGUGGAGGCAAGAAAUUGCAACUCAGAAAUACAUUGCUACUUGGCUGCCUCUACUCUAUUAUUGUAUAACUUGAAGGUGAGGUUAAUUAAGUCCUGUUGUGAGGUUUGAGGGCCGGAAUUUAAUUUUUGGAGUUUUAUUUAAUGUCAGGAGCGGAUUGGGUAAUAAAAUGUAUAUUGAGAAUAAGACGGCCUUUUGACAUUUUAGGGUCUUGGGCUGUAAAGCGUCUCAGGGUUGCUGCCGAACGAGCCAUGAACUGGGCUGGGUUUUUCAUAUUUGAUGAAAGAGCCUAAAUGCUAACUGAUUUGGGAGAGGUCGGAUAAAGAAAAAGAAGCAUUAACCUUGACUAUGCCUUUAGCUCCAGCCUCCUUUUUAAGAGGAAAUUGCUGGUCAGGUGGAGGAGGGCUAGUCGCGUCGCGGAACGAAACUAUAAGCCGGACUGGGUGUGAGGAGGGGAGGUGAUAAAAGGAUUAUAGGGUGGGGGAGCAGAGGCUGAGGAAGAAUUGGGACCUGGCUUGACCUGGCUUGGCCUGGCGAGGAGCAGCCUGGGGAGGAGGAGAGAGGUCAGAUGGGUCUGUAGAAAAGGAAGAUUAGAAAGACUCAGCGACGCUUGGGGUUGGGACUGAGAGGACAGGCGGGAGGGAAAGAAGGAGGAUUUGGGAUGAGUCACAUUGGGAACAGAGAGUACGGAGAGAACAAUGUGUAAAAGAAUGCCUGGACGUCAGGCACCUCAGACCAUUUGCCCAUUUUACGACAAGAAUUAUCGAGAUCUUGUGGGAUGGAAAAAUCGAAAGUGCCGUUCUGUGGCUAUUUUAGAGCCUUUGUCAAGUUUGUAUUGGGGCCAAGCGGUGUUGCAGAAUAAAAUAAGAUGCUUAGAUUUUAGGUCAGGCGAGAGUUGAAGAGGUUUUAAGUUCUUAAGAACACAGGCUAAGAGAGAAGAAGGAGGAAUGGAGGGUGGAAGGUUGCCCAUAGUGAAGGAGGCAAGUUUAAAGAGAAGGGUAGAGACACGGAGAAGGGGGUGGGGAGCAGCCCUGGGCUGCAACGUGGGUGAGCAGCCAAAGCAGGCGUCCUUGCAAUUGACUUGCCACCAAGGGAACAUGGGCGAAUGAUCAAGGAAGGCACCCCUGCGGAGAUCAGACACCAGUGGAACGUGGGUGAAUAAUCCAAGAGGCAUCUCGGCGAUGAUUAAACACCAAGGUAAGGCUGUCUUCCCGAGUCCGUGACCGGCGCCGGAGUUUUGGGUCCACAGAUAAAAUGUGUCUCCUUUGUCUCUACCCGAAAAUGAAAGGAACUGAAAUUAACAGAAGGGAGAGAUUGAAGUGUGGCGCCAAGCUUGAAAGGAGAAAGAGGUUGAGGGAUAGUGAGGGAGGUUGGAGAAGAGAGUAAAAAGAGGCCGCUUACUGGAUUUGAAAUUGGUGAGAUGUUCCUUGGGCUGGUCAGUCUGAGGACCUGAGGUUGUAGGUGGAUCUUUCUCAUGGAGCAAAGAGUAGGACAGGGGAUUGAUCUCCCAAGGGAGGUCCCCUGAUCCCAGUCACGGCACCAAAUUUCACUCGCGUCCGUGUGAAGAGACCACCAAACAGGAUUUGUGUGAGCAACAAGGCUGUUUAUUUCACCUGGAUGCAGGCGGGCUGAGUCUGAAAAGAGAGUCAGUGAAGGGAGAUAGGGGUGGUGCCGUUUUAUAGGAUUUGGGUAGGUAAAGGAAAAUUAGUCAAAGGGGGUUGUUCUCUGGCUGGCAGGAGUGGGAGGUCACAAGGUGCUCAGUAGGGGAGCUUUUGAGCCAGGAUGAGCCAGGAGAAGGAAUUUCACAAGAUAAUGUCAUCAGUUAAGGCAGGAACAG